rnacentral:sRNA from 1 species
GCACCUAGCGAGUCCGUGCCCCGUGCAAA